GGAGCAAGCUUGCUUUUCAAGACGAAACUUUUCUUGAGUUUGAGUUUUUAAGGGACAUGCGCGAAGCAAUGUCCAAGGGGAGAUCUUUUCCCAAGUUCGCUACGCUCAAAGAUGUGUAAUCAUCGAUCAAUAUCGAAUGGGAAAAACUUGGCAUUCUGCCUCUACCUCUGCGAUAGCAUUCACGGGUGUUUUCAUGCUAAUUAAUCUCAUGGAAAUGUGUUUCUCGAUAAUUCAUUUUCCUAUCGAAGCGUAGGCGUUGCGAUAAUUUGCACGAACUUUCCACGGCAUCUGUUGUCCCUCAUGCUUACAAGACAAUUAAGUCUGGCGGCUUCCUUCUAACGAAACUUUCCAAAGAAGCUGUGAUGCUGUUAGUUAUUUACCAAUGAAUCUAAACCUUGUGCACACGAUUUAGAGAAGUUCGCUUUAAUCUUUAUGGAAUUUUUGGAGCGUUGGGUCGGUAUGUUAUGUUUUUAACUGAACGUGGAAUUUCCAAACGUGGAUUACGUACAAAAUUGUAUACCAAGCUGUGGAUAUAAUCUUACUUAGUUGGAUUGCACUGUUGUUUGAAUACGAAGAGGAGAGUGACUCGACAAAACCACAAGACUCAACUAUGUAGCACAAUUUCUUUCAUGGCAACGGUGAAUUAUUGCAGACUCAUGUGUAAAGUUGCAGACACAUUUUAUUCACAAGUCGCGGGAAGAACAGGCUGUCAAGAUUUGAUCUUUCGUCAUUUUCUUUUAUGGAUGUCUCUCCAGCGAUAAAACUGCCGUGGGACCUUCCAAUAUGACGGUGAGAAAUUGAAUCCUUCCAGGGUCAGUCGGUUGUUGUUGAGCUUGGUGUAUUGAGCAUUGGACUUGCAAUCAACGAUUACUGUAUGUGGCAUGGCAAAGAAGUCAGCAAUGUAAGGAUAGAUUAUAAAACACACUAUUAUACAAAUGUCAUUUUUAUUGUUGGUUUUUCGACAGUGGAAUGCGUCACUUGGUAUAUUUUCAGAAAAAUAUCGCAUAAGAAAAACGAAUACAGAUCUGUUGCAUAACUAAGUCUUUUGAUCAAAUUUUUCUGACUCACCAAUGGGAGUAAUUUAUUAAUAGUCAGGAAACAGAGAGCAAACCAAACGCCCUUUCACACCCCUUCCUAAUAUCAACCGUACACUCAAUCCUCAAUCUACAACCCGAACUGACGACGACACCAGUACGAACCAAGGACCUCGUGCAUUGGAGAACAGACAGAGCCUGUUGAGUCAGAAGCUCAACAGCGAAUACUAAUAGUUUUCUGGCAUAUUUGUACCCUUUUUUUUCAACUUUUUAGUAGAAAUAUACAAAGUAGACUUGAACCUAAGAAGGUGCAAUUACAUUAGCCAUGACUUUACCUUAGAUAUUUACGUAUUAGUGAACUCUAAAAAGACAAAGAGAACAAAGCAGUCUUGAACCAGAACAGCAGUGAUCUCAAACCGUCAACUUACCCACUCAACCAAGCGAGAGAGAUGUGGAGCAUGUGGAAACAUAUCAAGUGCUACAACAGAACAACAUUUGUUGCCUUUCAAUGCAUAAGACUUUAAGUUAUAAGAUGUUUGGCAAAUGCUUUUACCUCAUCAUUAAAUAAAUAGAACUAUAUAAAGAAAAUUGUCUUGCUACAAGUCAAGCGAUAGCAAUCGAAGCAAUAUAAGUAUAAUGAUAAAGAAAGAAGAAGAAUAAAGUAUACAUGUCAUGCAUUGCCAUGUGGUGAAUCACGUGCAUGUCUUUUGUAAUUUUUUUGAUUUAAUGUCGACGGGAUUAUUUAACUUUACGUUUGAUGACAAAUAUAUUUUUAAUCAUUAUA